UGUGCGUAAUUUAAAUAAAAUAUCAAGCUGUGACCUUGACAAUAGGACUCCCUCACACACC
rnacentral:tRNA from 1 species